rnacentral:ncRNA from 2 species
AUACGUGGAGACUGUGUUGGUGCUCCUGGCUUCGGCCCGGGGCUGAAAAGGGAACCCGGCGAACAUCCGGGGCUGCCCCGCAGCGGUAAUCGAGAACGAUCUCCACGCAGCGCACUGGUCCGGGAAACCGGGCUGGGAAGCGGUGGAGGGUAGGAACCCGGCGAGAGCCGGAGCGCUCGUGAGCCCGAAGACCUGCCAGCAUGCGAUCGCGGGA